rnacentral:piRNA from 1 species
UUACUUGAUGUUCCUUAAAAUAUUUCAAUC